AGUGAACGCUGGCGGUAGGCCUAACACAUGCAAGUCGAACGGCAGCACAGUAAGAGCUUGCUCUUACGGGUGGCGAGUGGCGGACGGGUGAGGAAUACAUCGGAAUCUACUUUUUCGUGGGGGAUAACGUAGGGAAACUUACGCUAAUACCGCAUACGACCUACGGGUGAAAGCAGGGGAUCUUCGGACCUUGCGCGAUUGAAUGAGCCGAUGUCGGAUUAGCUAGUUGGCGGGGUAAAGGCCCACCAAGGCGACGAUCCGUAGCGGGUCUGAGAGGAUGAUCAGCCACACUGGAACUGAGACACGGUCCAGACUCCUACGGGAGGCAGCAGUGGGGAAUAUUGGACAAGGGGCGAGAGCCUGAUCCAGCCAUACCGCGUGGGUGAAGAAGGCCUUCGGGUUGGAAAGCCCUUUUGUUGGGAAAGAAAAGCAGCAGGUUAAUACCCCGCUGUUCUGACGGUACCCAAAGAAUAAGCACCGGCUAACUUCGUG
rnacentral:rRNA from 1 species